UGUUGCUGAAGACUACAUGUGUAGUGCUACAAGGUCACUGAGAAAUCCUGCUGGAGCUGAGCUGAAACA